GAGUUUGAUCAUGGCUCAGAACGAACGCUGGCGGCGUGCCUAAUACAUGCAAGUCGAGCGAGAAAGUCUCUUCGGAGGCGAGUAAAGCGGCGCACGGGUGAGUAACACGUGGGCAACCUGCCCUUGAGUCUGGGAUAACCCGGGGAAACUCGGGCUAAUACCAGAUACGGCUGCGGGGUCCUUGGACCCUGUGGAGAAAGAUGGCCUCUUCAUGAAUGCUAUCUCUCAAGGAUGGGCCCGCGUCCUAUUAGCUAGUUGGUGGGGUAACGGCUCACCAAGGCAGAGAUGGGUAGCUGGUCUGAGAGGAUGACCAGCCACACUGGAACUGAGACACGGUCCAGACUCCUACGGGAGGCAGCAGUAGGGAAUUUUGGGCAAUGGGCGAAAGCCUGACCCAGCAACGCCGCGUGUGGGAUGAAGGCCCUCGGGUCGUAAACCACUGUCAGGAGGAAAGAAAAGCCAGCCGGGUAAUAUUCGGUCGGCCUGACGGUACCUCCAAAGGAAGCACCGGCUAACUCCGUGCCAGCAGCCGCGGUAAUACGGAGGGUGCAAGCGUUGUUCGGAAUUACUGGGCGUAAAGCGCGUGUAGGUGGUUGAGUAAGUCGAAUGUGAAAGCCCCGGGCUCAACCCGGGAAGUGCAUCCGAAACUGCUCGACU
rnacentral:rRNA from 1 species